AGGACGAACGCUGGCGGCGUGCUUAACACAUGCAAGUCGAACGAUGAAAGAGAAUCCGAUCUCUUCGGAGUGAAGAAUCUCUGGAUUAGUGGCGGACGGGUGAGUAACGCGUGAGCAAUCUGCCUUACACAAAGGGAUAGCCUCGGGAAACCGGGAUUAAUACCAUAUGAUAUCUAUUAACCGCAUGGUUUAUAGAUUAAAGAAUUUCGGUGUAAGAUGAGCUCGCGUCCCAUUAAUUAGUUGGUGAGGGUAACGGCCCACCAAGAUAGCGAUGGGUAGCCGAUCUAAGAGGAUGACCGGCCACAUUGGAACUGAGAAACGGUCCAAACUCCUACGGGAGGCAGCAGUGGGGAAUAUUGCACAAUGGGGGAAACCCUGAUGCAGCGACGCCGCGUGAGCGAUGAAGGCUUUCGAGUCGUAAAGCUCUGUCCUAUGGGAAGAUAAUGACGGUACCAUAGAAGAAAGCCCCGGCUAAUUACGUGCCAGCAGCCGCGGU
rnacentral:rRNA from 1 species